AACGAACGCUGGCGGCAUGCCUAACACAUGCAAGUCGAACGAGACCUUCGGGUCCAGUGGCGCACGGGUGCGUAACACGUGGGAAUUUGCCUCGGGGUAUGGAAUAACUCAGGGAAACUUGAGCUAAUACCAUAUAAUGUCUUCGGACCAAAGAUUUAUCGCCCUGAGAUAAGCCCGCGUAGGAUUAGCUAGUUGGUGGGGUAAAGGCUCACCAAGGCGACGAUCCUUAGCUGGUCUGAGAGGAUGAUCAGCCACACUGGGACUGAGACACGGCCCAGACUCCUACGGGAGGCAGCAGUGGGGAAUAUUGGACAAUGGGCGAAAGCCUGAUCCAGCAAUGCCGCGUGAGUGAUGAAGGCCU
rnacentral:rRNA from 1 species